rnacentral:rRNA from 1 species
AUCCUUUUAUUUUGGGGAGGGUAUAAAGCGAGUAGCACUUAUAAUACAUGCUAGGGUAGGAAGGCUUUCUAUCCGUACAAGUGAGGAAUGCCUUAAAGCCACUUAGGGAAACUAGGGGGAAUAUAAAGUUUACAUAGUUAAUUAAUGGCUUGGGGCCGUAUUAGGCUUUUAGAGUGAGAUCUAGGCUUAGAUGCGUAGUUGAGAGACCACGCUUCGACUGAAACAAGGGGGAGCUUCAUCUAGGGGCUGCAGUAAAGAAUAUUGUGCAAUGUAUGAAAAUAUGACACAGAGAUGUUACAUUUUAAGGCUGUCUAAUAUACGUGCCAGCAGACGCGGUUAAACGUAAGGCCUGAGUUUUUACCAUAAAAGGCGUAAAGGGUAUAUAGGUGCGAUAGAAAGAGGUUUUAAAGGGGUAAGGAGAAUGGUUUAUGUAAAAAUUGAAUGUGGUCAGAUAAAGUAGAAUCUCAAAAGCGGAGGAAGCUUACUGGUUAAAACAAAGCAGAUAUACGAAAGUAGGGGGAGCGAACGGGAAUAGUAAGCCCGCUAGUCCUUACUGUAAACUUUAAAUUUUAGGGUUUUAGACGAAUCUACGAUAACUUAAGAAAAUUUCGCCUGGAGGGUACGGUCGCAAGAUUAACAUUUAAAAAAUAUGGCGGUUCACUGGUGCAAUUAGAGGAGCGUGUGGUUUAAUUCGAUGAUUCGCGAAUAAUUUUACCAAGAUUGGAAGGGGUGUGAAUCGGGUUGGAGUUCUUACAUUGAAUUCAGGUAUUGCAUGGCCGUCGUCAGUUUGUGUUUUGAAAGUAUUAGAAUGGGCUUAAUCCGGGNUUAUUUAUUGGGUAAAUGAAUAGAGGGGAGGAAGUCAGGUCGUUAUGGUCCUAAUGUUUUGGGCGAUACAUGCGCUACAAGGAAGGUAUAUACACAAGGGCGAGUUAAAAAGUAAAAGAUCGGAAUAGUUUUUGCAAUAGAGAGUAUGAAGUGGGAUUUAAUAGUAAUCGGAAAGUAGGGCGUUGUGGUGAAUAAAAACUGGGUGUUCGUACAAAUCGCCCGUCACCUUAGCUAAGUUAAUUUUUAAAAAGUGUAAAGUCAUAAAAGAAGGAUAAAAACAGAAUAUAGACGAGGGCUAAGUAAGGGAUUCGUUUGUGUAUUAUAUUACUAAAAAUUAAUAAAGUCGAGAAAGUCGUAACAUAGUAAGAGUAUUGGAAAAUGUUCUUGGAUUAAA